rnacentral:lncRNA from 1 species
CGAGUCUAGGUCCUCUCCUUGGCGUUCCUUCUCUGGGUCCACUAGAAUCCCAAAUGAUGAAGCAGAAAGUGACCCUCUUCCUUCUGCAUGCCAUCUACUGCUCUUGGCUUACGGCCUGUGUGCUGAACACCUGCAAGGAAGACUGCUUUGUAUUCACACCACUGUGGGACUAGAGGCUGAACACAGACUGGAGAAAGGUUUCCAGCUCUUGACCUGGUUAAAUAGGAACAAGAAGAUCAUGGGUGAGGCAGCUGCUCAGAAACAAAUGUCUUUCAACAAUUACCCCCAGGCAUGGGUGAUACAUCCUCUUCGCAGACAGCAGAAAAACAUCAGAUUUGUGAUUUAAUUGGGAGUUUUCUGGGAUCGAACAGUGGCUUCGUUUACAGACGUGACAGCUUGAGCCAGAGGGUGCCAGCCAGUGCCAUGAUGUGACCAAGGCCAUCAACAGCAGAGCCGCAAGGGAGCAGGAGCCUUGGUCCCUGAGGACAUGCUGGAGCUAACUUGGGAAUCCUGAGGUGGCCACCUCCAAAAUGUUACAUGAAAGAGAAAAGUAAACAUCUAACUUGCUUAAGCUGCUAUUGUUUUGGGGUUUGUCAUUUACAGCCAAACCUAAUCCUCAUUAAAAUAGUGGUGGAACUGGAAUUUGA